CCUACGGGCGGCAGCAGUGAGGAAUAUUGGUCAAUGCGCGGGAGCCUGAACCAGCCAAGCCGCGUGAGGGAAGAAGGUACAGCGUAUCGUAAACCUCUUUUGUCAGGGAACAAAGGCGGGGACUAGUCCCCGGAUGAGGGUACCUGAAGAAAAAGCAUCGGCUAACUCAGUGCCAGCAGCCGCGGUAAUACGGAGGAUGCGAGCGUUAUCCGGAUGUAUUGGGUUAAAAGGGUGCGCAGGCGGCCUGUUAAGUCAGCGGUAAAAGCCCGGGGCUCAACCCCGGCGAGCCGUUGAAACUGGCGGACUAGAGUUGGAGAGAGGUACGCGGAAUGCGCGGUGUAGCGGUGAAAUGCUUAGAUAUCGCGCAGAACCCCGAUUGCGAAGGCAGCGUACCGGCUCCACACUGACGCUGAGGCACGAAAGCGUGGGUAUCGAACAGGAUUAGAUACCCGGGUAGUC
rnacentral:rRNA from 1 species